GCGCGCCGCUUUAGGAGCGAGGCCGUGGCGCGGAGGACUCGCCUGGAGCUGUGCAGUUGGAGCGAGUCAGGUCCCACCCGCCAUGUCGGAGGGCGCGGAGAGGUCCGCGGGGGCCCACAGCUCCUCUGAGUCCUCCGCCCAGGGUUUCGCUGCUGCCGAGCCGCGGAUCAUCAAAAUCACGGUGAAGACUCCCAAGGAGAAGGAAGAGUUCGCUGUGCCCGAGACCAGCAGCGUCCAGCAGCUGGACUGAGGCCCCUGGACAGGACGAGUUUGACCUUGAGAAGAUUCCAGUCUACCCUUGAGAGAACAAACAGGAACAAGAACAACUGCAAGAUAAACAAGUUUUGAGGAAGUGUCGACUGCAAGACAAGGCGUAUGUGUCCUUUUGGCAGAAGAGCUGAGUUGUGAUGAACUGUGCAAAUGUUAACCAAUGGUAAGACAGCAUAAGAACUUUGAACCAAUAAGAAAGAGACACAUCUGGGGAAGCUAAGGGGAAAGAGAGUAUAAAUGAACAAAGAGAGCAAUAAAGGGUUUUUUUGCACUAGCUUGCUUAUAUAAAGUUUUGUUGUCUUGUCAUUUUGUCCGUCUCGACCGCAACAAUUGGUGACCCCGACGUGAUAUUGAUCAACGGAACACUGAGAAAGUUUGACUGCUGGAUGGGCAGUGGAGACGGAGGCCGGUGAAGCUGAGAGCGGCGGUGGAGCUGCUAAGUCCGCGGACCGAUAAUUGACACCUAACGUACCAGCGGAAAAGACACCCCCCCAAAAUUGGCUGGCGCUACGGAACCGCGGAAAUAUAUGUGGCCCCAUGAGACUGUAAAGCCUCGACAAUAUUUAUGUCCUCGGGAUACGGGUAACAGAUGAUUCACCGCAGCCGCCAAUGCUGCGGCAUUUUGGAUCCCUGACACCUACCUCUAGGGUAACACCAGGGGUCAAGGUGCAAGUAAAGGACCUGGUUACAGGUCAGUGGUCCUCUCCAUGUGAACUGUUGACAUGGGGAAGAGGAUAUGCUUGUGUUUCCACAGAUGGCGGUCCUCGGUGGAUUCCGGCUCACUGUGUUUGGCCUGUGGUGGAUGGUGUGUGCCAGUGAUGGAUGGAUAGUUUCGCAGCCAAAGCAGAACGUGUGGAUCACCCUAGCCAACAGGACAGGACAGGAUUCUAUUUGUUUAUCUACUGCCUCGCCUGGUAAUCCGUUCUCAACAUGUUUGGUGGGUCAACCCUUGGACAGUUGGCCUGUACCUGCAGAUCAACAGUGGGUGGCCAAUGGUUCAGGAUUGGUUGAUAACUGGGAUGGAUGGGUUCCAUAUUUAAGCCAAGGUGACCUCAAACCACAGGAGUUGGAGCUGUUGGGAUCUGUAAAAAUGGAUUAUUGCGUAUAUUUUAAUUAUUCAGGGAAAAAUCAAACAAUGAGACAAUGUGUAAAUUCUAGUUUGAUUGCGUAUAGAAACGAUAGUUUUUGGUGUAAUUAUACAUCAAAGAAUGCUUCACGAUCUAGCAACCGUCCACUUAGCCUGCCCCCCGGAGUGUUUUUGAUUUGUGGAGAUAGAGCGUGGCCUGGUAUCCUCUCACAUCUCAAAGGAGGACCUUGUAGCUUGGGCCACUUAACAUUAUUGACACCCAAUGAUACUGUGAUCCACAGUGCUUUUCGCAGAUGACCACGCAAUAGGUGAACCGUUCAUGCCUAUACAAAUCAAUGUAGGGAUGACUUGAAUUUUUGGGGCCCUGGCGAAACCAUAGCCGCAUCUAUCUUUGCUCCUGGGGUGGCAGCCGCUCAGGCGCUAACUACUCUUAACAAACUGGGGUGUUGGUUAGCAAAACACAGCAAUGUGACCUCAAUGGCUUUAAGUGGACUGUUAUUAGACGUAGAUUCAGUUAGACAUGCUACAUUGCAAAAUAGAGCUGCUAUAGAUUUUUUAUUGUUAGCACAAGGGCAUGGGUGUGAAGAUUUUGAAGGGAUGUGUUGUAUGAAUUUGUCAGACCACUCAGAGUCAAUUUAUAAGAGAAUUCAGAUGUUGAAGGAAGGAGUGAAGAAACUUCAGGUUGAUGAUGGGUGGAGUUGGUUAAAUAACCUUUUUAAUGGCUGGGGAUUGUCUGGUUGGGUCUUAUCACUGAUUAAGACUGGGUUUUUGAUAUUGAUUGUUGUUGUAGUUGUGUUAUUGAUGUUGCCAUGUUUAAUGUCCCUGAUGCAAAGGGCCCUGCAGAAGGUGACACAGGCAAUUUUUGUAGCAC